rnacentral:rRNA from 1 species
CCCUUAGACGUUCUGGGCCGCACGCGCGCUACACUGACCAGUGCAACAAGCAUCCGUCCUUGGCCGACAGGCCCGGGCAAUCUUUGAACGCUGUUCGUGAUUGGGAUAGACCUUUGCAAUUAUGGGUCUUCAACGAGGAAUUCCUAGUAAACGCAAGUCAUCAGCUUGCAUUGAUUACGUCCCUGUCCUUUGUACACACCGCCCGUCGCACCUACCGAUUGAAUGGUCCGGUGAAAUCUCGGGACGGCGGCUUGGUCGCUUGCGUCCGACUGCUGAAACUUGAUUAAACCAUAUCAUUUAGAGGAAGGUGAAGUCGUAACA